UACGAAGGGGGCUAGCGUUGCUCGGAAUCACUGGGCGUAAAGGGCGCGUAGGCGGCGUUUUUAAGUCGGGGGUGAAAGCCUGUGGCUCAACCACAGAAUUGCCUUCGAUACUGGGACGCUUGAGUGUGGUAGAGGUUGGUGGAACUGCGAGUGUAGAGGUGAAAUUCGUAGAUAUUCGCAAGAACACCAGUGGCGAAGGCGGCUCACUGGACCACAACUGACGCUGAGGUGCGAAAGCGUGGGGAGCAAACAGGG
rnacentral:rRNA from 1 species